rnacentral:lncRNA from 1 species
UUGAGCUGGUUUCUCCUAUCUAACAGUGUUUUAAACUUAUGUUCUAACCUCUCUUGAUGUCCCUGACUCCUUGCCCUCCUGAUCUCCAGGUUUUUGUUCUCAUAGCACCAUGAAACUUGACACAUGGACCAAGAAAGCAAAGGCUCUUCCAAGAUACCUCCUCUCCAGUUUGGAAGAUGGAAAUAGCUACCCAUGUUCACUAUCUCCAUCAGCCUUCUGCCAGUGAUGGUAAGGGAAGCCAGAGGACAUCUUGCCACUCCCGAGGAAAGCACAAGUGCCCUACCAGGAAGCUGCAACCAGACCUGCGUCCAGAAAGACUGAUUUGUAUAAUGGACCAACCCUUCAACAGACCCGAGGCUGUAUUUGUCAGGAUCUUACCAUACCAUCAGAUGUUAUCCAUCCCCUUCCUAGAGAGGAAUAAGCAACCAGGGUGUAUAUGGAAUUUGCCUCUACAGUUUUUGGUAGAAUUGCCAGCAAUAUCAGUUAUUUCUUCUGGGGACUAGGAACAGAAUGUGGGAAAGAAAGGAGGAUUGGACAACUGUAGUUAUAAACUGUGCAUCAAAUUCUAUGAUUGAUGUAAAUUACCAGUAUUGUCAUUGAACAUGUAAUGCUUAAGCCUACAGCAAAAAGAAAUAAUGAGUAUUGAGCCCCAAGGGUUUUGUUAAGGAUAAAUAUAGAUUUUGUUAUGCUUUUUAAAAUAAUGAGGACAGCUUAUAAAUACCCAUGAUCAUCCUUGAAAAUAGAGGAUAGGAAUAAAUGAUUGGGCUGGUUGAAGUAGAUAUCUCAGAGUUGCUUCUAACACACAUACAGCAGAUACACACACAUAGAAGCAUACACACAGAGAGAGGUAUGCACACAUACACACACAAGUGCCAUUUAAAAUAUAAAUAGACUAGAGGGGUUUUAAAUUCUUUUUUUGUUGUUGGUGAAAAAGAAGGAUAUGAUAUUGAAGAAAAUUAUAUGUGAUCAUGUAUGAUUUGAAAAUGCUUAAGAACAACUGUGAUUGUGGAAGAUAAUGUUAGAGGAACUGGAAAUGUGCUUUGUCUUAUAAUAUAAAAUCCCCGGU